rnacentral:rRNA from 1 species
UACGUAGGGGGCAAGCGUUGUCCGGAUUUAUUGGGCGUAAAGAGCGUGUAGGCGGUCUGGUAGGUCCGUUGUGAAAACUCGAGGCUCAACCUCGAGACGCCGAUGGAAACCAUCAGACUAGAGUCCGGAAGAGGAGAGUGGAAUUCCGGGUGUAGCGGUGGAAUGCGUAGAGAUCCGGAAGAACACCGGUGGCGAAGGCGGUCUGCUGGGCAGUAGCUGACACUGAGGCGCGACAGCGUGGGGAGCAAACAGG